rnacentral:rRNA from 1 species
UAAGUUAGUAGUGAAAGCGUGGGGCUCAACCUCAUAUCCAUUACUAAAACUACUUUGGCUAGAACAUGAGAGAGGUGGCUGGAAUUCCCUGUGUAGGAGUGAAAUCCGUAGAUAUAGGGAGGAACACCGAUGGCGUAGGCAGGCCACUGGCUCAUCGUUGACGCUCAGGCACGAAAGCGUGGGGAGCGACCGGGAUUAGAUACCCCGUUAGUCCACGCCGUAAACGAUGGAUGCUA